rnacentral:rRNA from 1 species
UACGGAGGUUUGCAAGCGUUGUUCGGAAUUACUGGGCGUAAAGGGCUCGUAGGUGGCCAACUAAGUCAGACGUGAAAUCCCCAGGCUCAACUUGGGAACUGCGUCUGAUACUGGAUGGCUUUGAAUUCGGGAGAGGGAUGCAGAAUUCCAGGUGUAGCGGUGAAAUGCGUAGAUAUCUGGAGGAAUACCGGUGGCGAAGGCGGCAUCCUGGACCGAUA